rnacentral:rRNA from 1 species
CGGCCCAGACUCCUACGGGAGGCAGCAGUGGGGAAUAUUGCACAAUGGGCGCAAGCCUGAUGCAGCGACGCCGCGUGAGGGAUGACGGCCUUCGGGUUGUAAACCUCUUUCGCUCAUGGUCAAGCCGCAACAGUGGUUGUGGUGAGGGUAGUGGGUAAAGAAGCGCCGGCUAACUACGUGCCAGCAGCCGCGGUAAUACGUAGGGCGCGAGCGUUGUCCGGAAUUAUUGGGCGUAAAGGGCUUGUAGGCGGUUGGUCGCGUCUGCCGUGAAAUCCUCUGGCUUAACUGGGGGCGUGCGGUGGGUACGGGCUGACUUGAGUGCGGUAGGGGAGACUGGAACUCCUGGUGUAGCGGUGGAAUGCGCAGAUAUCAGGAAGAACACCGGUGGCGAAGGCGGGUCUCUGGGCCGUUACUGACGCUGAGGAGCGAAAGCGUGGGGAGCGAACAGGAUUAGAUACCCUGGUAGUCCACGCUGUAAACGUUGGGCACUAGGUGUGGGGGCCACCCGUGGUUUCUGCGCCGUAGCUAACGCAUUAAGUGCCCCGCCUGGGGAGUACGGCCGCAAGGCUAAAACUCAAAGGAAUUGACGGGGGCCCGCACAAGCGGCGGAGCAUGCGGAUUAAUUCGAUGCAACGCGAAGAACCUUACCAAGGCUUGACAUAUACUGGACCGCAUCAGAGAUGGUGUUUCCCUUCGGGGCUGGUAUACAGGUGGUGCAUGGUUGUCGUCAGCUCGUGUCGUGAGAUGUUGGGUUAAGUCCC